GGGGAAGUCUGGUUUAAGUCCAGAGAAAGGCAAUUUUGGUAGCCAAUUCUCACACUCGGGAAAAGGUUUGCUGGAGCUGUUUAGAGUUGUCCAACCUUGAGCAUGGACAAGGAACAGUCAUACUGACAAGUGGCAAGCUUUGUGAUGCUACAGGGACACUCAGAGGGAUGACUGUGGUCAGGACAAAGCUCUCUUGGGGACAUGCUUAUCCGAUAACAUUCUAUGAAAGCUAUAAAGCUUUACUAUGAAAAUGGUAACUAUCUCAUACAAAACAAUAUCUGCACAUCAAAGCUUGAAAUCAAUGAAGACUGUUUUCCCAGCAAUCAUUGAACCCAAACCAAGCAGUGAAGAAAAAAACAAUCAAACAAACAAAAGCCUUACUGGACAAUCUCAGGGGGGAUAGUGACCCCUUCCAGGCAGCCAUGGCCUCUUCGCCAAACCAGGCUGAAGAUAAAAGAAUCUCCUUCUCUGGCUCCAGAUCUCUAAACUCCAUGGAGACCAGUGUUCUUCUGGUGCAGAUUCACUGAAAAGACUUCUGUUUCUUGUACCUAUAUGCCAGAAAUGUGUUUCUAACCUUUUUUUUUUUUCUCAAUUAAACAAGAAGCUAUAUAUUAUACACAAUCCUUUGCUGAAGACCUUAAAAUAUUUCAUCAACAAAUCCUCCUUAUUUUUAAAUUUAUUUUUUAUUAUUAUUUUUAUCCAUGUGCAUGCAUGUACGCCCUCACUAAUAUAUAUGUGUGUAAUGUAUGUACAGAAGCCCAUGAGGCUCACUGGAUCCUCUGGACCUGGGGUUACAGGUGGUUGUGAGCCAACAUGUGGGAGCUGAGAACCAAACACUGGUCUUCAGCAACAACAACAGCAAACAGUACCUGGUUCAAAGCCUUCCUCAUGAGUUACCAUGAACUAACUUCCUAUGGAUCCCUGCCUCCCAUCCUCCCAAAGCAAAUUAGGAAAAAAGUCUUCUCUUAGGUGAAAUGGUGAAUGUUUUACAUAGAUUAAUAAGGGUUGUUGUUGUUAAGUUUCCCUGUUCCUCUAGCCACCAUACACAAAUACACACACACAUACACAGAUACACAAGCACACAGAGAGAGAGCGAAAGAGAGAGAGAGAGAGAGAGAGAGAGAGAGAGAGAGAGAGAGAGAGAGAGAGAGAGGGAGAGAGAGAGAGAGACUCUUAGACAAGCAGAGAACCUAGAAACUCAUAUACAGUCUUCCUUCCUGCUGUCUUCUAUAGGAGCUAUCUGUCACUGCCUUUGUGACUCUGUUUCCGGGGAACUUCAAAGUGGGCAACCUCUUUCCUAAACUUAAGGCUGAGGGAUGGACAAAUUCCUGAUAAGCGAUUUAAUGUUUGACUGGCUGUCACGUCAGGAGGUCUGAUUUGGGGCACUAAGUUGUGUUCCUAGGGACCUUCUGGUUGCAAUUACCACUAGAUGUCCCCCUUCUCCUCAACCUAAACCACAA
rnacentral:lncRNA from 1 species